UGGGGAAUUUUGGACAAUGGGCGAAAGCCUGAUCCAGCAAUGCCGCGUGUGUGAUGAAGGCCUUCGGGUUGUAAAGCACUUUUGGCGGGAACGAAAAGGACCGUGCCAAUACCACGGUUCGAUGACGGUACCCGCAGAAUAAGCACCGGCUAACUACGUGCCAGCAGCCGCGGUAAUACGUAGGGUGCAAGCGUUAAUCGGAAUUACUGGGCGUAAAGAGUGCGCAGGCGGUUUUGCAAGACCGAUGUGAAAUCCCCGGGCUUAACCUGGGAACUGCAUUGGUGACUGCAAGGCUAGAGUGUGUCAGAGGGAGGUGGAAUUCCGCAUGUAGCAGUGAAAUGCGUAGAUAUGCGGAGGAACACCGAUGGCGAAGGCAGCCUCCUGGGAUAACACUGACGCUCAUGCACGAAAGCGUGGGGAGCAAACAGGAUUAGAUACCCUGGUAGUCCACGCCCUAAACGAUGUCUACUAGUUGUCGGGGAUUAAUUUCCUUGGUAACGCAGCUAACGCGUGAAGUAGACCGCCUGGGGAGUACGGUCGCAAGAUUA
rnacentral:rRNA from 1 species